CCUACGGGACGCAGCAGUGGGGAAUAUUGGACAAUGGGGGGAACCCUGAUCCAGCCAUGCCGCGUGUGUGAAGAAGGCCCUCGGGUUGUAAAGCACUUUCAGUGAGGAAGAACGCCUGGUGGUUAAUACCCAUCAGGAAAGACAUCACUCACAGAAGAAGCACCGGCUAACUCCGUGCCAGCAGCCGCGGUAAUACGGAGGGUGCGAGCGUUAAUCGGAAUUACUGGGCGUAAAGCGCGCGUAGGUGGCUUGAUAAGCCGGUUGUGAAAGCCCCGGGCUCAACCUGGGAACGGCAUCCGGAACUGUCAAGCUAGAGUGCAGGAGAGGAAGGUAGAAUUCCCGGUGUAGCGGUGAAAUGCGUAGAGAUCGGGAGGAAUACCAGUGGCGAAGGCGGCCUUCUGGACUGACACUGACACUGAGGUGCGAAAGCGUGGGUAGCAAACAGGAUUAGAUACCCCGGUAGUC
rnacentral:rRNA from 1 species